CUUUUCUGCCGGUUCCUCCCUCUGAGGAAGUGUAGCUCAAGACGCUGGCUUACGAAUUUGGUAGCAUGGGCUGUUGUGCUGGAGAGAACGAGAGCUACGAAGAGACUAGAAUGCCUCUGACUUUUUCAUAGGACAGUUGGCCGAGGAAGACACUUAAAGAUGAAGUGCUUAAUUCAAGGUCACAGAAUGUCGGGGAUGGACCUCCAGAUUUCCUUACUGACCUGCAUUAUCUUGUGGAUACCUGAGUGAAUUCCACACCACCCAUUUUAUAGAUGAAGCCACUGAGACGUGGAGCAACUGACUGAGUAGUCACUGCCCCACCCCUGCCUGGAGCCUCACACAUGACUUCUCUUAGUGACCACAGGUUGGUUGAGGGGUUUAACAAGGCUAAGAAGGUGAGACGUGGUCUUGUAACACAGUGGUUAAGAAUGUGACUUUGGAGCCAGCCUGCUAGGGGCUGAAUUCUGACUCAGCCAUUUAUUAACUGUGUGACCUUAGGGAGGAGGACCUGGUUGAUAGAAGAAUUUAUCUCAUAGUCUUAACAUCCACUGUAAUU
rnacentral:antisense_RNA from 1 species